rnacentral:lncRNA from 1 species
CUGGGAUUACAGGCGUGAGCCACUCUGCCCAGCCAGCUUUUAGUAACUGCUAUUUUCUCUAUUAAUACUUCUAUGAGAUCAAUUUUUUUACCUUCCACAUAUGAGUGAAAACAUGCAGUAUUUCUCUUUCGUUUCAGGGUUAUUUCAGUUAACAUAAUGUUCUCUAAGUUUAUGCAUGUUGCUGCAAAUGACAGAAUUUCCUUCUGUUUACGGCUAAAUAGUAAUCAUUGUGUAUGUAUACCACAUUUUCUUUAACUGUGUGUCUGCUGAUGAACACUUAAAGUGAUUCCAUAUCUUGGCUAUUGUGAAUAGUGCUUCAGUAGUCACAGGAGUACAGAUAUCUCUUUAACAUACUGAUUUUCUUUCCUUUGAAUAUAUAACCUGUAGUGGGAUUGAUGGAUCAUGUCGUAGUCAUUCAAUUUUUAGUUUUUUGAGGAACCUCCAUACCAUUUUUCAUAAUGGUUGUACUAAUUUACAUUCCCACCAACAGUGUGUAAGAUUUCCCUUUCUCAGCAUCCCUGCCGGCAUUUGUUCUUCUUAAUUUUUUGGAUAAUAGAUUCAUCCUAUCUGGGGUGAGAUGAUAUCUCAUUGUGGUUUUCAUUUGCAUUUCCCUGACGAUUAGUGAUUUAAGCAUUUUUUCAGAUGCCUUUUGCUCAUUUGUAUGUCUUCUUUUGAGAGAUCUCUAUUCAAAUCAUUUGCCCAUUUUUAAAUUGAAUUAUUUAAUCAUUUUUGCUGCUGGGUUACUUGAUUUACUUGUAUAUUCUGGAGAGUAAUCCUCUAUCAGAUAGAUAAUUUGCAAAUAUUUCCUCCUAUUCCAUAGAUUAUCUCUUCUCUCUUUUCGUUGUUUCUUUGGCUGCUCAAAAGCUUUUUAGUUUGAUAAAGUCACAAAUAUUUUUGCUGCUCCUGUCUUUGUUAUUGAAGUCUUAUUUAAAAAAUCCUUGCCCGCACCAAUGUCCUGACAUAUUUCCCCUAUAUUUUCUUCUAGUAGUUUUAUAGUUUUGGAUAUUGCUUUUGGUGUUUAAUCCAUUUUGAAAUAAUAUUUGUGUGUGGCGAGAGAUAGGGAUCUAGUUUCAUUCUCCUGCAUAUGGAUAUCCAGCUUUCCCAACAACAUUUAUUAAGGAGACUCUUCUUUCCCCAAUGUGUGUUCUUGGUAACCUUGUUGAAAAUCAGCUGGCUAUAAAUUUGUGGAUUUACUUCUGAGUUCUUUAUUCUGUUUCAGGGUUCUAUGUGUCUACUUUGUUGCCAAUAUCACACUGUUUGGUUACUAUAGCUGUGUAGUAUAUUUACAAGUCAGGUGGCAUGACACCAUCAGCUCUGCUUUUUGUGCUUAGGGUUACUCUGGUAUAUUCAGGGUCUUUUGUAGUCCUAUAUGAAUUUUAGGAUUGUUUUUUUCUAUUCCUGUGGAAAAUGUCAUUGGUAUUUUGAUAGAGAUUGCAUUGAAUCUGCAGAUUGCAUGGACAUUUUCAUAAUAUAAUUCUGUCAAUCUAUCAACAAGGGAUAUCUUUUCAUUUUUUUGUCUCCUCAAUUUCUUUCACCAACGUUUUAUAGUUUUCAUUGUAGAGAUUUUUCAACGCUCUUGUCAAGUGACUCUUAGGUAUUUUUUGUAGUUACUGUAAAUGGGAUUGCUUUCUUGAUUUUUUUUUUUUAGGUUGUCCACUAUUAGUUUUUAGAAAUGCUACCAGUUUUGGUAUGUUGAUUUGGUAUCCAGCAACUUUACUGAAUUUGGUUGUUAGUUCUAAGAGAUUUUGGUGAAGUAUACAUUUUUCUGUAUUUAAGGUCAUUUGUUUCUGUAAACAGGAAUAAUUUUACUUCUCCGUUUCUAUUUGGAUGCCCUUUAUUUCUUUCUCUUGCCUAUUUGCUCUGGAUAGAAUUUCUGAUACUAUGAUGAGAGUGGUGAGAGUGGGCAUCCUUGUCUUCUAGUUCUCACAGGAAAAGCUUUCAGCUUCUCACUGUUCAGUAUGAUGUUUGCUGUGGGUUUGUCAUUUAUGGUCUUUAUUAUGUUAAGGUGCACUCCAUUUAUGCCUACUUUGUAGAGAGUUUUUGUCAUGAAGGAGUGUUGAAUUUUAUCAAAUGUUCUUUCUGUAUCUAUUUAAAUGACUAUAAAACUGUUGCCCUUCAUUCUGUUUGUUGAUUUGCAUAUGUUAAACUAUCCUUACAUCCCAGGGAUAAACCCCAGUUGAUCGUGCUAUAUAAUUUUUUGGAUGUGCUGUUGGAUUUGGUUUGCUAGUACUUUGUUGAGAAUUUUAGCAUCUGUGUUUAUCUGGCAUACUGAACUGUGGUUCUAUUUUUUGGUUGUGUUCUUGCCUGGUUUUGGUAUCAGUGUAACGCUGGUCUUAUUAGAAUAAGUUUAGAUUCCCUGCCCUUCAAAUCUUUAAAAUAGUUUGAGGAAAAUUGGGAUUAGGUCUCUUUUUAACAUUUGGUAGAAUUCGGCAGUCAAACAAUUUGGUCCUGGUCUUUCUUUGUUGCUAGACUUUUUCUUACUGAUUCAAUCUCAUUGCAUGUUAAUAGCCUGUUCAGCUUUCCUGUUUCUUCUUUGUUAUCUAUUGGUAGGUUGCAUGUGUCCAGAAAUGUAUCUACUUCCUCUGGAUUUUCAAUUUGUUGGUGUAUAGUUGUUAAUAACAGUCUCUAAAAAUCCUUUGUAUUUCUGUGGUGUCAGUUCUAAUGUCUCCUUUUUUGUUUCUGAUUUUAUUUAUUUGCAUUUUUUCUCUUUUUCUCUUAAUCUAGCUAAUGACUUUUUAAAAUUGUGUUUAACUUUUCAAAAAACCAACUUUUUAUUUUGUUAAUUGUUGUGGGGUUGUUUGGGUCUCAAUUUCAUUUAUUUCUGCUCUGAUCAUCAUUAUUUCUUUCCUUCUGUUAAUAUUGGCUUUAAUUUGUUAUUGUUUUUCCUAGUUUCUAGAGGUGCAACAUUGGGCUGUUUACUUGAACUCUUUUUACUUUUUUAAUAUAGCGAUGUUUUGCUAAAAACUUCCCUCUGAACACUGUUUUUGCUUUAUCCCAAAUGUUUUGGCAUGUUGUGUGUGUCUCUAUUUUCAUUUGUUUCAAGUAAUGUUAAAAUUUUUUUUGUUUUUUUUUUUUGUUUGUUUGCUUUUUUCUGUCGCCCAGGCUGGAGUACAGUGGUGCCAUCUCGGCUCACU